UACGGAGGGGGCUAGCGUUGUUCGGAAUUACUGGGCGUAAAGCGUACGUAGGCGGCUUUGUAAGUUAGAGGUGAAAGCCCGGGGCUCAACUCCGGAAUUGCCUUUAAGACUGCAUCGCUUGAAUCAUGGAGAGGUGAGUGGAAUUCCGAGUGUAGAGGUGAAAUUCGUAGAUAUUCGCAAGAACACCAGUGGCGAAGGCGGCUCACUGGCCCGGUACUGACGCUGAGGUGCGAAAGCGUGGGGAGCAAACAGG
rnacentral:rRNA from 1 species